rnacentral:rRNA from 1 species
UUUAUUGAGAGUUUGAUCCUGGCUCAGGACGAACGCUGGCGGCGUGCCUAACACAUGCAAGUCGAG